GGUUCCCUGGUGGAAUUGGUUUACACAGUGGAUUUAAAAUCCAUGCCUCAUUAGAGGUUGCGGGUUCAAGUCCCGCGGGAACCACCA
rnacentral:tRNA from 1 species